CUACGUACUCGAUACAUUCGUACGCAAAUACAUACAAUCCAUACUUGAUCUUAGCCCGACGAACACGCACUACAAUCAAUCGAUGGCGUGCGUUACUCGAGCAUGGAUUUUACUCGCGCUCUUGGCAUGCGUGGUGAUGGCGACCGGAACCAAUGCUGCCCCUACUCUGAACUACCGUGUAAUCGCCAGGGAUCAACCUCCGUGCAGGCCGUGGCUCGAGAAUUGCCGCCCGCUGCCCGUCGAGCCCCAUAGCAGGGGCUGCGAGAACGGGGCGCGGUGCCGUAACAACAAUCUCGGAGAAUCGGGCGCAUGAGUUAUGAAUGCAGCAGAUACAUCCUGCAGUUCGAUUUCGAUCGGUGGAGGCGCGCGCCGAUUGAUUGAUAUGAAAUUAUGGUUAUGUCCUUUGAAAAUUGUAUACUGUUACAUUUGUACUUUUGUAUGUACUUAAGCUCCGUUUGAUUCCGAGAUAACAAAGAUUGGCAUAAAUUUUUUUA